ACAUUUUGUUUGGCAGACCUGGAACAGUUGCUGUCUGCUGCUAAGGUUUCCACUACAGAUGCAAGAAAAAAGUCCUCAGGCUUUCUGUCUGAUUUUGGCAGUCAAGAUUGAAUAGAGGAAUACAGGG